GACGUAACAAAUGAACUUUGACAAUUGACCGAUUGUUGGUUUGCUCUUAUUGUUCUGAAGAGUGCGAUUUCGGAUAUUUCGAAAAUUAAUUUUGAUUUUGCUGGGUAUCGUCCCUUGGCUGAUCCCUUCGGUGAACAGAGAACAGUUUCGAUUUGAAGCUCUCAUUUGUACAGUUGAGUUGGCAUUUGUAACGAUUUUAAUUAUAGGAGGAAUUGCGCAUGGUCUACUGUUAGCCGCUUUAUUUAUAUUUGUCCUCCAGAAAGAAUACGAAGAACUUAAUUACGAAAUGUCUACGAUAAGAAGAAGCGACAGAAAUUUGAAACUGAAAUUACAAAAUUUGAUGAUCUGUCACCAAGAAUUGUGGAUUUACAUGAAUCAGUUGAACACAAAAUUCGAGUUGGCUUUCGUACUUGUUUAUUUCGAAAUAAUUUGGGGCACGAGCUUUUGUAUUACGCAUAUUUGUACGUUGAUAUGCAUUGGAUUUUUAGAAUUUUAGUGAUGGCACUGAUGAUUGUUUCCUCAUUCGUCUGCAUUAUCUGUGGCUGUUUGCUAUGUUGCAUCGCUUUCACGAUGCGGAAUGGAUUUCAAGACAUUCGUCAAUUUGCAAUCUGCUAUUUGGAACUGGAACGAAAGCUUAAAAUAUUGGAUUUCAUGAAAAGAUUCGGCAAAUUGUCUUUGUGUCUGACGAUAGGAGGCUUCUUUUGUGUCAAUAAGAGGAUCCCUCAGAAG